CCUACGGGUGGCUGCAGUGAGGAAUAUUGGUCAAUGGGCGCGAGCCUGAACCAGCCAAGUAGCGUGAAGGAUGACUGCCCUACGGGUUGUAAACUUCUUUUAUAAAGGAAUAAAGUGAGGCACGUGUGCCUUUUUGUAUGUACUUUAUGAAUAAGGAUCGGCUAACUCCGUGCCAGCAGCGGCGGUAAUACGGAGGAUCCGAGCGUUAUCCGGAUUUAUUGGGUGUAAAGGGAGCGUAGAUGGGUUGUUAAGUCAGUUGUGAAAGUUUGGGGCUCAACCGUAAAAUUGCAAUUGAUACUGGCAGCCUUGAGUACAGUAGAGGUAGGCGGAAUUCUUGGUGUAGCGGUGAAAUGCGUAGAUAUCACGAAGAACUCCGAUUGCGAAGGCAGCUUACUAAACUGCCACUGACAUUGAUGCUCGAAAGUGUGGGUAUCAAACAGGAUUAGAUACCCGGGUAGUC
rnacentral:rRNA from 1 species